AGUGAACGCUGGCGGUAGGCCUAACACAUGCAAGUCGAACGGCAGCACAGUAAGAGCUUGCUCUUACGGGUGGCGAGUGGCGGACGGGUGAGGAAUACAUCGGAAUCUACUUUUUCGUGGGGGAUAACGUAGGGAAACUUACGCUAAUACCGCAUACGACCUACGGGUGAAAGCAGGGGAUCUUCGGACCUUGCGCGAUUGAAUGAGCCGAUGUCGGAUUAGCUAGUUGGCGGGGUAAAGGCCCGCCAAGGCGACGAUCCGUAGCUGGUCUGAGAGGAUGAUCAGCCACACUGGAACUGAGACACUGUCCAGACUCCUACGGGAGGCAGCAGUGGGGAAUAUUGGACAAUGGGCGCAAGCCUGAUCCAGCCAUACCGCGUGGGUGAAGAAGGCCUUCGGGUUGUAAAGCCCUUUUGUUGGGAAAGAAAAGCAGCAGGUUAAUACCCCGCUGUUCUGACGGUACCCAAAGAAUAAGCACCGGCUAACUUCGUG
rnacentral:rRNA from 1 species